rnacentral:rRNA from 1 species
AGCAGCCGCGGUAAUUCCAGCUCCAAUAGCGUAUAUUAAAGUUGCUGCAGUUAAAAAGCUCGUAGUUGAAUUUCGGGACCAUCAUGUCGGUCGUGCCUUGGUACGUACUGGCAUUAUUGGUUUCUACCUUCUGAAGAACCUCGAUGUCAUUAAUUUGGUGUCUUGGGGAAUCAGGACUGUUACUUUGAAAAAAUUAGAGUGUUUAAAGCAGGCUCGCGCUUGAAUACAUUAGCAUGGAAUAAUGAAAUAGGACGUUUGAUUCUAUUUUGUUGGUUUCUAGGAUCGACGUAAUGAUUAAUAGGGAUAGUUGGGGGCAUUAGUAUUCAAUUGUCAGAGGUGAAAUUCUUGGAUUUAUUGAAGACUAACUACUGCGAAAGCAUUUGCCAAGGAUGUUUUCAUUAAUCAAGAACGAAAGUUAGGGGAUCGAAGACGAUCAGAUACCGUCGUAGUCUUAACCAUAAACUAUGCCGACUA